UGCGUAGGCGGGUCGGUCAGUCGGGUGUGAAAAUCCACGGCUUAACCAUGGACUUGCAUUCGAAACUGCCGGUCUUGAGUACGGGAGAGGAAAGUGGAAUUCCUGGUGUAGCGGUGAAAUGCGUAGAUAUCAGGAGGAACACCGUUGGCGAAGGCGGCUUUCUGGACCGAUACUGACGCUGAGGCACGAAGGCCGGGGGAGCAAACGAGGAUUAGAUACCCUGGUAGUCCCGGCGGUAAACGAUGGGCACUAGGUGUCGGAGGUAUCGACCCCUCCGGUGCCGCAGUUAACACGCUAAGUGCCCCCGCUGGGGAUACGGCCGCAAGGGUUGAA
rnacentral:rRNA from 1 species